rnacentral:rRNA from 1 species
CUACCAGACUCCUACGGGAGGCAGCAGUGAGGAAUAUUGGUCAAUGGGCGAGAGCCUGAACCAGCCAAGUCGCGUGAAGGAUGACGGCCCUACGGGUUGUAAACUUCUUUUGUCAGGGAGCAAUUGAGUCCACGUGUGGGCUUAGCGAGAGUACCUGAAGAAAAAGCAUCGGCUAACUCCGUGCCAGCAGCCGCGGUAAUACGGAGGAUGCGAGCGUUAUCCGGAUUUAUUGGGUUUAAAGGGUGCGUAGGCGGGAUGCCAAGUCAGCGGUAAAAAUGCGGUGCUCAACGCCGUCGAGCCGUUGAAACUGGCGUUCUUGAGUGGGCGAGAAGUAUGCGGAAUGCGUGGUGUAGCGGUGAAAUGCAUAGAUAUCACGCAGAACUCCGAUUGCGAAGGCAGCAUACCGGCGCCCUACUGACGCUGAGGCACGAAAGCGUGGGUAUCGAACAGGAUUAGAUACCCGCGUA